UACAUGCAAGUCGAGCGCAGGAAGCCGUCUGAACCCUUCGGGGGGACGACGGUGGAAUGAGCGGCGGACGGGUGAGUAACACGUAAAGAACCUGCCCAUAGGUCUGGGAUAACCACGAGAAAUCGGGGCUAAUACCGGAUGUGUCAUCGGACCGCAUGGUCCGCUGAUGAAAGGCGCUCCGGCGUCGCCCAUGGAUGGCUUUGCGGUGCAUUAGCUAGUUGGUGGGGUAACGGCCCACCAAGGCGACGAUGCAUAGCCGACCUGAGAGGGUGAUCGGCCACACUGGGACUGAGACACGGCCCAGACUCCUACGGGAGGCAGCAGUAGGGAAUCUUCCACAAUGGACGAAAGUCUGAUGGAGCAACGCCGCGUGAACGAUGAAGGCUUUCGGGUCGUAAAGUUCUGUUGUAAGGGAAGAACAAGUGCCGCAGGCAAUGGCGGCACCUUGACGGUACCUUGCGAGAAAGCCACGGCUAACUACGUGCCAGCAGCCGCGGUAAUACGUAGGUGGCAAGCGUGUCCGGAAUUAUUGGGCGUAAAGCGCGCGCAGGCGGCCUCUUAAGUCUGAUGUGAAAGCCCCCGGCUCAACCGGGGAGGGCCAUUGGAAACUGGGAGGCUUGAGUAUAGGAGAGAAGAGUGGAAUUCCACGUGUAGCGGUGAAAUGCGUAGAGAUGUGGAGGAACACCAGUGGCGAAGGCGACUCUUUGGCCUAUAACUGACGCUGAGGCGCGAAAGCGUGGGGAGCAAACAGGAUUAAUACCCUGGUAGUCCACGCCGUAAACGAUGAGUGCUAGGUGUUGGAGGGUUUCCGCCCUUCAGUGCUGAAGCUAACGCAUAAGCACUCCGCCUGGGAGUACGGUCGCAAGGCUGAACUCAAAGGAAUUGACGGGGACCCGCACAAGCGGUGGAGCAUGUGGUUUAAUUCGAAGCAACGCGAAGAACCUUACCAACUCUUGACAUCCCCCUGACCGGUACAGAGAUGUACCUUCCCCUUCGGGGGCAGGGGUGACAGGUGGUGCAUGGUUGUCGUCAGCUCGUGUCGUGAGAUGUUGGGUUAAGUCCCGCAACGAGCGCAACCCUUGUCCUUAGUUGCCAGCAUUUGGUUGGGCACUCUAGGGAGACUGCCGGUGACAAACCGGAGGAAGGUGGGGAUGACGUCAAAUCAUCAUGCCCCUUAUGAGUUGGGCUACACACGUGCUACAAUGGACGGUACAAAGGGCAGCGAAGCCGCGAGGUGGAGCCAAUCCCAGAAAGCCGUUCUCAGUUCGGAUUGCAGGCUGCAACUCGCCUGCAUGAAGUCGGAAUCGCUAGUAAUCGCAGGUCAGCAUACUGCGGUGAAUACGUUCCCGGGUCUUGUACACACCGCCCGUCACACCACGAGAGUUUGCAACACCCGAAGUCGGUGAGGUAACCGUAAGGAGCCA
rnacentral:rRNA from 1 species